UACAGAGGUCUCAAGCGUUGUUCGGAUUCAUUGGGCGUAAAGCGUGUGUAGGCGGAUCGUUAAGUGCCUUGUGAAAUCCCACGGCUUAACUGUGGAACGGCUGGGCAUACUGGCGGUCUUGAGCCAUCUAGGGGGACCUGGAACUUCCGGUGGAGCGGUGAAAUGCGUUGAGAUCGGAAGGAACGCCCGUGGCGAAAGCGAGGUCCUGGACGUUUUCUGACGCUGAGACGCGAAAGCCAGGGGAGCAGAGGG
rnacentral:rRNA from 1 species